GGGGACUGAGCUCAGUGGGAGGGUGUUUGCCUGGCAUGCACAGGGCCCUGGGUUCAAUCCCCAGCGCCACCA
rnacentral:tRNA from 1 species